UACGUAGGGUGCGAGCGUUAAUCGGAAUUACUGGGCGUAAAGCGUGCGCAGGCGGUUCGUCGUGUCCGAUGUGAAAGCCCCGGGCUCAACCUGGGAAUGGCAUUGGAAACUGGCGGACUCGAGUGUGGCAGAGGGGGGUGGAAUUCCGCGUGUAGCAGUGAAAUGCGUAGAGAUGCGGAGGAACACCAGCGGCGAAGGCGGCAUCCUGGACUGGUCCUGACACUCAGGAGCGAAAGCGUGGGGAGCGAUCCGG
rnacentral:rRNA from 1 species